AACGAACGCUGGCGGCGCGCCUAAUACAUGCAAGUCGAACGAGAAGGUGUAGCAAUACACUUGUACAGUGGCGAACGGGUGAGGAAUGCAUGGGCAACCUACCCUCGAGUGGGGAACAACCAGCCGAAAGGUUGGCUAAUACCGCGUACGCUUCCGGGUCUCCGGAUCCGGAAGGAAAGUCACACCGUGGGUGUGACGCUCAAGGAUGGGCUCAUGUCCUAUCAGCNGUUGGUGAGGUAACGGCUCACCAAGGCAACGACGGGUAGCUGGUCUGAGAGGACGAUCAGCCACACUGGCACUGCGACACGGGGCCAGACUCCUACGGGAGGCAGCAGUAAGGAAUAUUGCGCAAUGGGCGAAAGCCUGACGCAGCGACGCCGCGUGGGGGAUGAAGGUCUUCGGAUUGUAAACCCCCUUUUAGGAGGGGAAAUGGGACGAGCAAUCGUCCGGAUGGUACCUCCAGAAAAGCCACGGCUAACUUCGU
rnacentral:rRNA from 1 species